AUUAGUAUUUUGAGUCUAGAAAAAAAUUUGUAUUCUCCCUCAAUAUAGUUGGUGUCAAAAAUAUAUUAAGAUUUCAAACUCUUCUGUCUCCUUUUCUCUGUCAUUCGUGUCAAAAGGUAAUGAGGGCAACAAACCUCAAAUCCUUGAGCUGUCAAGUUUUCAAUGCUUAAUCUAAUGCUUAAGGUUUUAUAACUAGCAAAUCAAUCUCAAAUUCUUCUUAUUCAACACUAGAAAAUCAAAGAAACCCCGGUUUCUCAGUUUCAUUCUUGCAUCAUCUCUCUCACUCAAAUUGUUGGUGCCGCUAAGCGUUCGGCGCUGCUAUUGGGUCUCAGCGGAAGUCUGUCGUUGUUGUCGUCGGCUCGGCUGUUGCCCUUAUUUCUUUCCCAUCUGUGCUAUCGGUGCUGUCCCAGGUCAUUCCACCAGUUGCAGCAUUUUCUCUCUCCUCUACUUCGGGAUUCUAGUAUUGUGUUGCGGUUUUUUCUAUCUCUUCUGUUUCGUUUUUUUCUGGUGUUGCACUGUUGUCGCCUGUUUGGGGGUGCUGUUGUGCCGGUGUUGGUACUAUAUUGGUGUGCUGCUUCUUGCUACUAUUGCUUCAUGUUGUACUCGUGUUCUUUCAAAUCUCAACUCUUAUUAAAAGAGAUUACCAAAAUCAAGGUGAUUUGUGAAGGUAUAUUCUGAACUAUUUCUUCCUUCUUCAUCUCUAUAAUUCCAAGGCCCAAAAAAUUCAUAAUUUAUGUAGAGGUUGUUAAGAAUGAUUUCUAUAAUCCAAGAAUAGUUGUGAGUAUAAGUUUUUUUUAUGAGUUUUUGAAUUAAGCUCUACUGAGUAUUAUUUCAAAGUUGAUAAAAUAGAUUGUGAAUUGUAAUUAUGGAGAUUAGUUGGGUUUUGGCUUCUAAGUAUAAAAAGCAAAGCUGGGUUGUUAUUGUUUUGAACCUUUAUUUGUCUAAUUUAUGAAAAAGAGACUUUGUUUGGAAAUGAUUUAGUCCACGGCUAAUGGGGGACCUUGAUUAGUUAAGAUAAGUAAUUCAGGUUGAAAAGAUUUGGUAUGAGGAGUUUAUAUGUUUGAAAAUUAUUAAGAUGAGUAUUAUUUAUUGAUAUUGUUUGGAGGUGAUAUAUUGUUGAAGAAUGGUAUGGAGAUAAUUUCUGGAGAUCGAGCUAUAGUUGGUGAUCCAUAAUGUCGAAUUAUUGGGAAUCGUUUCAAGGUAGCAAGAACUAUUUUGGUUGAUGAUAAUGAUGAUGAGAUGAUUCGGUGAAGCUUGUGCAAAAGUUUUCAUAAACCUUCUGAGAACCAUUACAUAAUUCCAUUAUUGUAUUUGUUUAAAGUUUGUACUACUUUCUUAGUUAUAUCACUAUAUGGUGCAGCACAAAAACAAUAGCCUUUGUGCUACUUGAUAGGAAUGUUUUUUCUAGGUUUUUGAUUCAUGAAUGUUCUUAUGAUUUGACAAAUUUUUGGCA